ensembl:snRNA U6 U6 spliceosomal RNA
GUGCUUGCUUUGGCAGCACAUAUAAUAAAAUUGAAACAAUACAGAGAAGAUUAGCAUGACUCACAUGCAAGGGUCACAUGCAGUUUUUUGAGACUGUCCAUAUUUUG